UGCGUAGGCGGAUUUUUAAGUCAGUGGUGAGAGCCCGGAGCUCAACUCCGGAACUGCCAUUGAUACUAUUAAUCUUGAAUACAGUUGAGGUGGGCGGAAUGUGUAGUGUAGCGGUGAAAUGCUUAGAUAUUACACAGAACACCGAUUGCGAAGGCAGCUCGCUAAACUGUUAUUGACGCUGAGGCACGAAAGCGUGGGGAGCGAACAGGAUUAGAUACCCUGGUAGUCC
rnacentral:rRNA from 1 species